rnacentral:rRNA from 3 species
AGACCCGAAACCCGGUGAUCUAGCCAUGGGCAGGUUGAAGGUUGGGUAACACUAACUGGAGGACCGAACCGACUAAUGUUGAAAAAUUAGCGGAUGACCUGUGGCUGGGGGUGAAAGGCCAAUCAAACCGGGAGAUAGCUGGUUCUCCCCGAAAGCUAUUUAGGUAGCGCCUCGUGAAUUCAUCUCCGGGGGUAGAGCACUGUUUCGGCUAGGGGGCCAUCCCGGCUUACCAACCCGAUGCAAACUGCGAAUACCGGAGAAUGUUAUCACGGGAGACACACGGCGGGUGCUAACGUCCGUCGUGAAGAGGGAAACAACCCAGACCGCCAGCUAAGGUCCCAAAGUCAUGGUUAAGUGGGAAACGAUGUGGGAAGGCCCAGACAGCCAGGAUGUUGGCUUAGAAGCAGCCAUCAUUUAAAGAAAGCGUAAUAGCUCACUGGUCGAGUCGGCCUGCGCGGAAGAUGUAACGGGGCUAAACCAUGCACCGAAGCUGCGGCAGCGAACGUAUCACCCAAGACAACUUUACGGAGUUGACGAUUGACGGAGCGAAGCGACGUCAAAGCGUUCAUUAAAGUCGAGUUGGCUUAGGGAUACGUUCGUUGGGUAGGGGAGCGUUCUGUAAGCCUGUGAAGGUGUGUCGUGAGGCAUGCUGGAGGUAUCAGAAGUGCGAAUGCUGACAUAAGUAACGAUAAAGCGGGUGAAAAGCCCGCUCGCCGGAAGACCAAGGGUUCCUGUCCAACGUUAAUCGGGGCAGGGUGAGUCGACCCCUAAGGCGAGGCCGAAAGGCGUAGUCGAUGGGAAACGGGUUAAUAUUCCCGUACUUGGUGUUACUGCGAAGGGGGGACGG